UACGGAGGGUGCAAGCGUUGUUCGGAAUUAUUGGGCGUAAAGAGAACGUAGGCGGAUCUGUAUGUCGAUUGUGAAAGCCCAGGGCUCAACCUUGGAAUUGCAGUCGAAACUGCGGAUCUUGAAUACUUGAGAGGGUGGGGGGAAUUCCUGGUGGAGAAGUGAAAUUCGUAGAGAUCAGGAGGAACAUCAGAGGCGAAGGCGCCUGCCUGGCAAUGUAUUGACGCUGAGGUUCGAAAGCGUGGGGAGCAAACAGG
rnacentral:rRNA from 1 species